UCCCAGAGUUCAUACUGUUGCCUUCUCUCUCAUUUUGCUUGGGAGGAGCAGGUGAGGUGAUGAGCGCUGGCUCCCCAUCUGGACCUAUGUUCGGCUGUCCCUCGGACACUGAGGAAACCAGUCAUUGUCCCAGUGCCCAUGACACCAGCGUGUGGAAGCAGGCGUGUUGUCCCACAGGUGUGUGCCCUCUAGCUCUGCGGCCACUCCCCUUUUCCAGCAUGUCCUGGAUCUGGAAGCAAUGCUACAAUUGCCCCCUGGGUCAGGUGCUGCCAGCACAGUCCUUCUGGCCAGGUCUUUCUCCUCGUGACCAGGAAGCCGUCCACGCGGGCUCAUUUUGGGGGGCCCAGCCAGCACACCUCUCACACUGAACCCCAGGCCACAGUGCUCAGAGGAGAGCGUGGUUUCUGUUAUGCCCAAAGUCACGGAUCCCAGAACACCACCUAGGAGCCAACACCAAUGCAAAAGCAAAGAGCCUUUAUUCGAGCUAGCUCGAGCUCAAGCUCCUAUCUGCACCAACGCAGCUGCAAGAUGCUGGAGAAAGAGAGCGAGUUUUGAAAGCACAAAGGCAGAGAAGUUGCAAAAUGGUCCAAAGGAUUCCCGGAUACAUUUUUCCACCUGGAUUCCCCAGAUGUUCACAUUUUACCACAUGUGCGUCAGCCUUUUCUGAGUGCAUGCAGGUACACACACAUGCACACACACCUGCAUAUGUAUACUCGUAUGUGCACACAUACAUGCCAAUAUAUAAUCCCCAGUAAUUUUUUUAUACAAGCAACCAGAUAUUUUCAAUAUCUGUAAACUCUUGCACACAUGAGGUAUACACAUGGACUUUAUGCAUAAAGUAUACACAGACACGUACAUACAUAAAUACCUGAAUAUCAAAUGUGGGUAUGAUAGUGUUUAUAGUGAGCAGCAUUCAUGGGAGUAAAUGUGUCUACAUGACUUUUAGUAGCAGAAACCUACUAAAGACUGUACGUGUGUAUGUGAAAUGAGUGGCAGUACCAUGGGGAAAAUAAAUCAAAAUGUGUUGUUUGAAAUCUGAAUGCACUUCUCUCAGAAACUGACUAGUCAAGCAGGUGAAAAAUGAGCAAAGAUCCAGAAGAUUGGAAUGCCACAGUUACCGAACCUGGGCUUGUGGAGAACAUUAUACCCAAUAGGCAAAUUGUCUUUGAUCACACAAAGAACCUAAAGGAAAAUUUAUUAUAUGGGCCACAGAGGACACCUCACUAAAUUCCAAGGUCAAUAAUACACAACUCUUUUUCUGUAAUAAUGCAAUAAAAUUCUAAAUAAAUUUGAAAAGAGUUCACACAUCUAGGGACUGAACAAUACACUAGAAGCAAUCUAGGUGAAAGAGGAAAUCACCCAGAAGAUUAUGGGGCUCCUAAAAGUGCAUGACCUUAAACAAACAAACACUACAUGCCAAAUUUGGUAGCACCCAGAUAAGGCUGAAAUACCUUCAUCAAAUCAAGACAGAUUAUUUUUUUAUUGAAGUAUCACCAUUAUACAAUCUCA